CCAAAUGCAAGUAAGAUUGUAGUUCUGUCCUUUGGAAACUGUGCAGCCCUCACCUUUCAUCUUUGCUGCAUCUUCUCCCUCAUGCUGCUUGCCCUAAUAAACAUGGCCAGAGCCAUCUGGCAGGUCCUCUGCUCCUCUGUGCAGCGAUGUUUCCCUGUAGCUACUUGCAGCACUUGGCUCUCUGGGAACAGAAAUCUAGAGGGGACCCAAAAAGAAUGUACAGGGUAGUUUAAAUAAGGCCUGUAGGCCACUCAGUGAAUGCUGUGGAUAAAAAUAAGUCUUCACUGAACAAGGUAGAUACCC